rnacentral:rRNA from 1 species
AUGCUGGCAAGUGCCACGGCGACAAACUCGUAUUGGACUGGUGCCGCGGCUGGGGGUCUAGGGUUUAGCCGGGCGGCAAUAAUUGGGAGGCCGAAAGGAGAAUCGAAUCGAUACUCCCGGUCCCGGACGACCUGCUUGGCUGCGCGCGUCUCGAUACCACCUACCCCGUCGCCGUCAGAGCCUCUUCCCACGCGCCGCUCCCCUGUCCCCGCACCCCCCGCCGCCGCCGCCGCCGCUCCCCGGGACGAGAUGGAGGUCGCUGCCGCUGCCGCCGCCGUCGCCGUCCCGAGGCACAAGGUGAAGAAGCAGAUUAACCUCUUCUACUGCGCCGAGUGCGAGGAGCUCGCCCUCAAGGUCGCCGCCGCCUCCGACGCCAUCCAGCUCCAGUCUAUCAACUGGAGGAACUUCCCCGACGGGUUCCCGAACCUCUUCAUCAACAACGCGCACGACAUCCGGGGGCAGCACGUCGCCUUCCUCGCCUCCUUCAGCUCGCCGGCGAUCAUCUUCGAGCAGAUCUCCGUCAUCUUCGCGCUGCCCAAGCUCUUCAUCGCCUCCUUCACGCUCGUGCUGCCCUUCUUCCCCACCGGUACCUUCGAGCGCGUCGAGGAGGAGGGCGACGUCGCCACCGCCUUCACGCUCGCGCGCAUCCUCUCCAUGAUCCCCAAGUCGCGCGGCGGGCCCACCAGCGUCGUCAUCUACGACAUCCACGCGCUCCAGGAGAGGUUCUACUUCGGGGACGACGUCCUGCCCUGCUUCGAGACCGGGAUACCGCUCCUGCUGCAGCGCCUCAGCCAGCUCCCCGACGCCGACAAUGUCACCAUUGCCUUCCCAGAUGAUGGGGCGUGGAAGCGCUUCCACAAGUCGUUGGCCAACUUCCCAGUGGUUGUCUGUGCGAAGGUCCGUGAAGGCGACAAGAGGAUAGUCCGGAUUAAAGAAGGGAACCCUGAAGGGCGACAUGUCGUUAUUGUCGAUGAUCUAGUGCAAUCUGGUGGAACUCUUAGAGAGUGCCAGAAAGUUCUGGCUGCUCAUGGUGCUACAAAAGUCAGCGCCUAUGUAACUCAUGCUGUGUUCCCCAAUCAGUCAUAUGAACGCUUCAUGACUGCUAAUUCUGCCGGGCCAGGUGACCAGUUUGCUUACUUCUGGAUCACGGAUUCGUGCCCUCAGACAGUGAAAGCCAUCAGCCAACAACCUCCAUUUGAGGUGUUGAGCCUUGCUAGCUCGAUUGCUGAUGCCCUUCAGAUAUGA